GCGGGAGUAGUAUAGUGGCAAUACGUCAGCUUCCCAAGCUGAAAUUGCGGGUUCGAUUCCCGUCUUCCGCUCCA
rnacentral:tRNA from 1 species